rnacentral:lncRNA from 1 species
AGCAGUCAGGGCUCAGCCAUUCUAAUGAUAGGCGGCAGCCAUCAAGCCCUGGGCUAAACAGCGCCAGUAAACCCAGUGUAAAUAGCUGUUUGUACCGCGGGACACAGGAGAGAGGUGCUCAAUACAGCAGGGACACCAGGGGGACUCCAUGCACAGUGAAGAUAGCAACAGCUUGGUGUUAUCAGUUCCUCCCGGAUGAGAGCAUCAGUGUCCUGCAGGCCUGCUGUCCAUAGGGGAGCCUCUAAGCCCCUAUAUGGCUUUUUGCUUUAAAUCAAUCAAAAUUAAACACUAUUAAAACUCUCUUCGCAUUAUAA